GACGAACGCUUGCGGCGUGCUUAACACAUGCAAGUCGAACGGAAAGGCCCUGCUUUUGUGGGGUGCUCGAGUGGCGAACGGGUGAGUAACACGUGAGUAACCUGCCCUUGACUUUGGGAUAACUUCAGGAAACUGGGGCUAAUACCGGAUAGGAGCUCCUGCUGCAUGGUGGGGGUUGGAAAGUUUCGGCGGUUGGGGAUGGACUCGCGGCUUAUCAGCUUGUUGGUGGGGUAGUGGCUUACCAAGGCUUUGACGGGUAGCCGGCCUGAGAGGGUGACCGGCCACAUUGGGACUGAGAUACGGCCCAGACUCCUACGGGAGGCAGCAGUGGGGAAUAUUGCACAAUGGGCGGAAGCCUGAUGCAGCAACGCCGCGUGCGGGAUGACGGCCUUCGGGUUGUAAACCGCUUUCGCCUGUGACGAAGCGUGAGUGACGGUAAUGGGUAAAGAAGCACCGGCUAACUACGUGCCAGCAGCCGCGGUGAUACGUAGGGUGCGAGCGUUGUCCGGAUUUAUUGGGCGUAAAGGGCUCGUAGGUGGUUGAUCGCGUCGGAAGUGUAAUCUUGGGGCUUAACCCUGAGCGUGCUUUCGAUACGGGUUGACUUGAGGAAGGUAGGGGAGAAUGGAAUUCCUGGUGGAGCGGUGGAAUGCGCAGAUAUCAGGAGGAACACCAGUGGCGAAGGCGGUUCUCUGGGCCUUUCCUGACGCUGAGGAGCGAAAGCGUGGGGAGCGAACAGGCUUAGAUACCCUGGUAGUCCACGCUGUAAACGGUGGGUACUAGGUGUGGGGUCCGUUCCACGGGUUCCGUGCCGUAGCUAACGCUUUAAGUACCCCGCCUGGGGAGUACGGCCGCAAGGCUAAAACUCAAAGGAAUUGACGGGGCCCCGCACAAGCGGCGGAGCAUGCGGAUUAAUUCGAUGCAACGCGUAGAACCUUACCUGGGUUUGACAUGGAUCGGGAGUGCUCAGAGAUGGGUGUGCCUCUUUUGGGGUCGGUUCACAGGUGGUGCAUGGCUGUCGUCAGCUCGUGUCGUGAGAUGUUGGGUUAAGUCCCGCAACGAGCGCAACCCUUGUUCACUGUUGCCAGCACGUUAUGGUGGGGACUCAGUGGAGACCGCCGGGGUCAACUCGGAGGAAGGUGGGGAUGACGUCAAGUCAUCAUGCCCCUUAUGUCCAGGGCUUCACGCAUGCUACAAUGGCUGGUACAGAGAGUGGCGAGCCUGUGAGGGUGAGCGAAUCUCGGAAAGCCGGUCUCAGUUCGGAUUGGGGUCUGCAACUCGACCUCAUGAAGUCGGAGUCGCUAGUAAUCGCAGAUCAGCAACGCUGCGGUGAAUACGUUCCCGGG
rnacentral:rRNA from 1 species